rnacentral:rRNA from 1 species
AGUGAACGCUGGCGGUAGGCCUAACACAUGCAAGUCGAACGGCAGCACAGUAAGAGCUUGCUCUUACGGGUGGCGAGUGGCGGACGGGUGAGGAAUACAUCGGAAUCUACUUUUUCGUGGGGGAUAACGUAGGGAAACUUACGCUAAUACCGCAUACGACCUACGGGUGAAAGCAGGGGAGCUUCGGACCUUGCGCGAUUGAAUGAGCCGAUGUCGGAUUAGCUAGUUGGCGGGGUAAAGGCCCACCAAGGCGACGAUCCGUAGCUGGUCUGAGAGGAUGAUCAGCCACACUGGAACUGAGACACGGUCCAGACUCCUACGGGAGGCAGCAGUGGGGAAUAUUGGACAAUGGGCGCAAGCCUGAUCCAGCCAUACCGCGUGAGUGAAGAAGGCCUUCGGGUUGUAAAGCCCUUUUGUUGGGAAAGAAAAGCAGCAGGUUAAUACCCCGCUGUUCUGACGGUACCCAAAGAAUAAGCACCGGCUAACUUCGUG